GCAGCAGCCGCGGUAAGACAGAGGGGGCAAGCGUUGCUCGGAAUUACUGGGCGUAAAGGGCGCGUAGGCGGGAUGGCAAGUCGGUCGUGAAAUCCCUCGGCUCAACUGAGGAGCGUCGAUCGAUACUGCCGUUCUUGAGGAUUGCAGAGGAGACUGGAAUUCCCGGUGUAGCGGUGAAAUGUGUAGAGAUCGGGAGGAACACCGGUGGCGAAGGCGGGUCUCUGGGCAAUUCCUGACGCUGAGGCGCGAAAGCGUGGGGAGCAAACGGGAUUAGAUACCCCGGUAGUCCACGCUGUAAACGAUGACGACUAGGUGUGGGGGGGUUCAGUCCCUUCCGUGCCGCAGCUAACGCAUUAAGUCGUCCGCCUGGGGAGUACGGCCGCAAGGUUGAAACUCAAAGGAAUUGACGGGGGCCCGCACA
rnacentral:rRNA from 1 species